UGGAGGAACAACCAUGGUGGUGGCGGCCAGCUCUGGAGCCCUGGAUUCAGCUCCCGCAGUAACUAGGGAGUUCUCCAUCUGCAGGGCCUGGAUGCUCCGGAGACGG
rnacentral:pre_miRNA from 1 species